GCCCCCGUAGCCCAAUGGCAGAGGCAAGCCCCUUAAAAGGGCUGUGGUGUGGGUUCGAGUCCCACCGGGGGCACCG
rnacentral:tRNA from 2 species